CCCGCCUCGGGGGAGAACCCCAGCCCCGCCCAAUGGUCCACUUUCCUCUCUGCCCUCCCCCACGGUGCCAUCCCUUUGAGGUACGUCUUUCAGCUUCUGGGACAGACCCAGCUGAUACCAGGGGGAAUAACUAUAGCUGCUUGGCUCUUACUCCACCUGCCGGCUCCCCAUCUUCGCUCUGGUCCCACCUCCUUGCUCUUCCGGUCUGUUCGCAAGCCCCGCGCCAGCUCAGUGCCCUCCUCCAGCAGCAGAAGGGCCUUCCAGGGUUCAAUAUAGAGCAAAAUGUAUCCAAAUGCCAGAAAUAUCUGUGAAGUGGCCUGAUUUUGUAACUGCUUUUCCUAAGCUCGGGACUAGUGAGUGCCCUGCAUGGGAUAGGUUGAUUUUCCCUAAUCAUACCAAGAGACGAUGAGGACUGCUCUUGGAUGAACAAGAAAUGGAAAAUCAGCACAAAGGAGACAGAGUUUGCAAAAAACAGGACAUAACCCUUCAAUGUAAGUUAUUCGAAGGGAGGGUAAGACUUUAUCCCUUUAUGAUUUUUUAAUUGAAUUAUAGUUAACACAAUAUUAAAUUAGUUUUAGGUAUAUAAUGUAGUGAUUUGAUAUUUUUAUACAUUAUAUGAAAUGGUCACUGCAGUAAAACCAGUUAUCAUCCCUUAUCAUACAAAGUUAUUACAAUAUUACUGACUAUAUUACCUAUGUGGCCUUAUUUAUUUCAUGGCUGUAAGUUUGUACCUCUUAGUCCCCUUUACCAUUUUGUCUGCCCCACCACCCCCACUUCCCUCCCCUCUGCCAACCACCCAUUUGUUCUCUCUUUUGUUUCUGUUUUGUCUUGUUUGGUCUUUGCUUUGCUUUUUGGAUUCCACAGGUAAGUGAAAUCAUGUGGAAUUUGGUUUUCUUUGUUUGACUUAUUUCUUGUAGCAUAAUACCCUCCAGGUCUAUC
rnacentral:lncRNA from 9 species